AGAACGAACGCUGGCGGCAUGCCUAAUACAUGCAAGUCGAACGAACACUUCGGUGUUAGUGGCGCACGGGUGCGUAACGCGUGGGAAUCUGCCCUUGGGUUCGGAAUAACAGUUGGAAACGACUGCUAAUACCGGAUGAUAUCGAAAGAUCAAAGAUUUAUCGCCCAGGGAUGAGCCCGCGUAGGAUUAGCUAGUUGGUGAGGUAAAGGCUCACCAAGGCGACGAUCCUUAGCUGGUCUGAGAGGAUGAUCAGCCACACGUGGGACUGAGACACGGCCCAGACUCCUACGGGGAGC
rnacentral:rRNA from 1 species